rnacentral:rRNA from 1 species
GGAUCCAGACUUUGAUCAUGGCUCAGGAUGAACGCUAGCUACAGGCUUAACACAUGCAAGUCGAGGGGAAACGACAUCGAAAGCUUGCUUUUGAUGGGCGUCGACCGGCGCACGGGUGAGUAACGCGUAUCCAACCUGCCCACCACUUGGGGAUAACCUUGCGAAAGUAAGACUAAUACCCAAUGAUAUCUCUAGAAGACAUCUGAAAGGGAUUAAAGAUUUAUCGGUGAUGGAUGGGGAUGCGUCUGAUUAGCUUGUUGGCGGGGUAACGGCCCACCAAGGCUACGAUCAGUAGGGGUUCUGAGAGGAAGGUCCCCCACAUUGGAACUGAGACACGGUCCAAACUCCUACGGGAGGCAGCAGUGAGGAAUAUUGGUCAAUGGGCGAGAGCCUGAACCAGCCAAGUAGCGUGCAGGAUGACGGCCCUAUGGGUUGUAAACUGCUUUUAUAAGGGAAUAAAGUGAGCCUCGUGAGGCUUUUUGCAUGUACCUUAUGAAUAAGGACCGGCUAAUUCCGUGCCAGCAGCCGCGGUAAUACGGAAGGUCCGGGCGUUAUCCGGAUUUAUUGGGUUUAAAGGGAGCGUAGGCCGGAGAUUAAGCGUGUUGUGAAAUGUAGAUGCUCAACAUCUGCACUGCAGCGCGAACUGGUUCCCUUGAGUACGCACAAAGUGGGCGGAAUUCGUGGUGUAGCGGUGAAAUGCUUAGAUAUCACGAAGAACUCCGAUUGCGAAGGCAGCUCACUGGAGCGCAACUGACGCUGAAGCUCGAAAGUGCGGGUAUCGAACAGGAUUAGAUACCCUGGUAGUCCGCACGGUAAACGAUGGAUGCCCGCUGUUGGUCUGAAUAGGUCAGCGGCCAAGCGAAAGCAUUAAGCAUCCCACCUGGGGAGUACGCCGGCAACGGUGCAACUCAAAUGAAUUGACGG